ACCUUGCUGACGAGUGCCAAAUAACACGAAACCCGGGUCCAAGAU
rnacentral:hammerhead_ribozyme from 1 species